rnacentral:rRNA from 1 species
UAGGGAAUCUUCGGCAAUGGGGGGAACCCUGACCGAGCAACGCCGCGUGAGUGAAGAAGGUUUUCGGAUCGUAAAGCUCUGUUGUUAAGGAAGAACGAGUGUGAGAAUGGAAAGUUCAUACUGUGACGGUACUUAACCAGAAAGGGACGGCUAACUACGUGCCAGCAGCCGCGGUAAUACGUAGGUCCCGAGCGUUGUCCGGAUUUAUUGGGCGUAAAGCGAGCGCAGGCGGUUAGAAAAGUCUGAAGUGAAAGGCAGUGGCUCAACCAUUGUAGGCUUUGGAAACUGUUUAACUUGAGUGCAGAAGGGGAGAGUGGAAUUCCAUGUGUAACGGUGAAAUGCGUAGAUAUAUGGAGGAACACCGGUGGCGAAGGCGACUCUCUGGUCUGUAACUGACGCUGAGGCUCGAAAGCGUGGGUAGCAAACAGG